rnacentral:rRNA from 1 species
UACAGAGGGGGGCAAGCGUUGUUCGGAAUUACUGGGCGUAAAGGGCGCGUAGGCGGCCCUGUUAAGUCGAACGUGAAAUCCCUGGGCUCAACCCAGGAACUGCGUCCGAUACUGGCAGGCUUGAAUUCGGGAGAGGCAAGGGGAAUUCCACGUGUAGCGGUGAAAUGCGUAGAGAUGUGGAGGAACACCCUGUGGCGAAGGCGCCUUGCUGGCCA